UGGGGAAUCAUUAAUACAUUUAUUAAGGAUCAAAGCGCGAAAUGCACCGACCGUCCCUAAAGCAAAUGGUAAAGGGCUUGGUGGUUGGUACCCGAGACCCAAGUUCGAAUCCUAGUUGAUUCACAUUUCUAGCUAAGUUUAUUUCUAAUGAAAUAAACGAAGCGGGUAGCGUGCUACCUAUCUCUCAAAAAAAAAAAAAAGCGCGAAAUGCUUUGAGAU
rnacentral:lncRNA from 1 species